CAGUCGCCGCGGUAAAACGUAGGUGGCAAGCGUUGUCCGGAAUUAUUGGGCGUAAAGGGCUCGCAGGCGGUUUCUUAAGUCUGAUGUGAAAGCCCCCGGCUCAACCGGGGAGGGUCAUUGGAAACUGGGAAACUUGAGUGCAGAAGAGGAGAGUGGAAUUCCACGUGUAGCGGUGAAAUGCGUAGAGAUGUGGAGGAACACCAGUGGCGAAGGCGACUCUCUGGUCUGUAACUGACGCUGAGGAGCGAAAGCGUGGGGAGCGAACAGGAUUAGAUACCCGUGUAGUCCCUGUCUCUUAUAU
rnacentral:rRNA from 1 species